rnacentral:tRNA from 1 species
GGAUUGUGGCUCAGCCGUAGAGCACAUGCCUAGCACAGGUGAGGUCCUGGGUUCAAUCCCCAACACCA